ensembl:lncRNA
CUAUUAUUAGGGGUCCAAGCCAACAGGUUGGAUCCCUAUUGUUUUUGUAAGGAUUUUUCCUAUUAUUAUACUUCCCCCCGUACUUGUGGGACCACAGCCCAAACCGUAAAUGGUGCGGACAUGCCAAUAGCAUGACUGGAUCCAGGUCCGGCACCGCUACUCAGAUAACAAAAUCCAGACACGCCGGUCACUAGGUGGCGCUAUACCAAGGAAUACGCGUUUGGGGCUAUAACUCCCACACCGAACCUCCCAGAGUCCAAAAACUUGUACACACAGAUGCACUGGAGUCUGCUGCAUCUUUUGGCCUAGGCCACGCCCAUUUGCGUCCAUAAUUUUUUUUCGCAAAAUCGCGAAAACCGCUAAACAGUUUUUUCCCUACUCCUCCCACAUUUCUUGACCAAUCGACACCAAACUUUGCACACAAGAUCUUCAGACGCACACGCAUAGAAUUGAUAGACACUUUUUUGAUCGGACCUUCGACGACGAAACGGUAGCGUUUUGAAUAUUGGUUUAUGAGCUAAAUUAGACGUGGAAAAUCAAAAAUCCAAAGAAAUCCAAAAUUAGACAUCGGAACGAGUCCAAAUUUUACAGAUAUGUUGGUGCUAACCUUAAUGACGUUCGAUAAAAAUUUCGGAAAAUUUCGCCAUUAGGGGGCGCAAUAAACAAGGAAAUUGUAUAUCUUCUAAUUGGCCAAAGGAAUGUUCUUCAAACUCAAGGGAAACCAUCAAGGGGCAAACCCGAGUCUAUAUAGAAAAUAUGGCCAAGAAUUAUUAAUAUGGGCGGGAGUUAUUUGGCAAAGGAAAAUUGUCUUUGGAAAAUUUCGCCACAGGGCGGCGCCAAAAAACGACGACAUUGUCUAUCUCCUAUUUGGCCAAUGGAAUGUUCUCAAAACGCGUUUCAGGCUAUAACUCCCACACCGAAGCUCCCACAGUCAAAACCCUUAUAUCCACAUGUUGUUCACGGUAGCGUUUUGAAUACUUGCUUCGCGUUGUGCAGGCGAAAUGCACAUUUCUUAUAGCGUUGUGCCGGCGAAAUGCACACUUCUUGGACCCCUGCAUAACUGCUUGCAGUUCUAGUUAU